CUGAAGUAUUGCUAUUUCCGUAUUUAAAGGUGAUCAGUUCUGGGUGCUUCUUCUUGGAUGUGAUUUUGACUACAGAGUUGAGUGCCUGUCGAGACUGUAUGUAAGCCAGUCCCUUUCGCGACGGAAUCUCCCUCAAACAAUACAUAUGGGUUGCCGUUACGAGGAGAUGACUGGGAAACAUAUGUCCAUUUUCUUUCACUUCAUUACAGGGGAAGUUAUACUUCACGUCAGGUUUAUUUAUCCACGUUUGGAUGUUGACAACCUCUUUUCGAUCAUCAUCAGACAUUGAAGAGCUGUCAAUUUCAUCAGUGUCGUAUUCUUCUUCAUCUCCGAUGCUGAAUACUGGUUUCACACCACGGUAGGGUUUUCCUACUCUGUCACUGCUGCUGACAUGUCUGUCUACUGGAGUGGAUGUAUUUUCAAUGAAGCUAAUAACUUUUUCUUUCACAUUGACAGAUUUAGUCUUCAAAGCAACUGUCAUUUUAUUCACCAAGGACUUGACUCCUUUUCCAUCACUUGAGCCAUUAGGAGAAUCACCAUCGACAGAGGAGUUUAUGCUACUUCUGGAGCCUGAGGUGCUAGCAAUCCAGUGACCAUAUCCAUUUUCUGGUCCUUCCACAUUGAUAUCUGCUAAGUGCUGCUGAAGGGCCAUAAAUCCUCCCCUGGCUAUGCUCACGUACUCCUUAUUUUUCUGUAAGAAGUGUGCCAGCACCAUGUUCAUAUACAUAUCUUCUUCUUCC
rnacentral:lncRNA from 1 species